rnacentral:rRNA from 1 species
UACGAAGGGGGCUAGCGUUGUUCGGAUUUACUGGGCGUAAAGCGCACGUAGGCGGAUCGAUCAGUCAGGGGUGAAAUCCUGGAGCUCAACUCCAGAACUGCCUUUGAUACUGAAGAUCUUGAGUUCGGGAGAGGUGAGUGGAACUGCGAGUGUAGAGGUGAAAUUCGUAGAUAUUCGCAGGAACACCAGUGGCGAAGGCGGCUCACUGGCCCGAUACUGACGCUGAGGCACGAAAGCGUGGGGAGCAAACAGG